AAACCACAUUUGCUCUCAGUGCUGAGCAGGACCUGAUAAAAGGUAAGAUGGGAGGGAGGAAUGAAGGGCAAAGGCCAUUUGCAAGUUGCCAUUUGCAAAUGUUCGUGGACUCAAAGGCUAGACUUUGUUCUUCAGAAUCUGGGCAGAG